UAUCGCAAGUAAAAUCUUCAAGUGCGCACUGGCCCCAGUUUAGAAGUUACGAUUAAUUUGAGUCGAAAAUCUUAACACUGCCUAUUUUUCCAACAAUUAUUUCCAUUAGUUCUUUCAAUCGGCUUUGGCCAUCUGAAAAACGACGGUGAAAGCAAACGUUGCCGGUUAUAAUGAAGAAAGUCUAUCAUAAGCUGAUUCAUUAUCGGUAGCCGGCACUGGGCGUAUUUUGUAAUUUAGUAGCUUAAUUACUUUCGGGCAACCCACAUGCGAAGCAUGAACCAGUUUCUAAGCUUGAUUUUGUGUCUAGUUAUGCUGGUCCAAGGUGCGCCCUAUUGGACGCAAGACCUUAAAGAAAUCCCGUUGAACAGCCUGACUUACGAAGCAAAACCGAUCAUCCCUUACCAGUACACGCUGAGAAAUAUUGCGCCGCACCCCAAACAGGCCCAGUGGUGGAAACGGGGCACGCAUCGGGUCUACGCCCCCCUUUCAGAGCCAAUCACGACGGUUUUCGCUUAAGAAUGACGGGGAUAAUAAAAGCACAUUCACAAGCACA
rnacentral:lncRNA from 1 species